rnacentral:misc_RNA from 1 species
GUCGGACCUGCCCGUGCAGCGACGAUUACGCAUGCGUUCCUCUUCAGAUCUAGGCACAAGUGCAGCUUAGCCUUGGCCGAAACUCGGAUUUCCUGUGCUGCAUACCUACUAGAUGGAAUUUUCUCGUCGAUUAUCGAACGAUCGCCUAAUGCCACCCUUGUUGGUGGCUGCGGGUGAUCCACAAAGCGAUAUUUGUGAUCCUAGGUGCGGAGUACCCGUACUCGUUGUCUAGGCCCACAUUUCUCUGCUCGGACUGAGGGAUUUGGAAUAUGCUGUGGGCAUAGGGUCUUAUCCCUUGUUUGCCCCAAUAAUUGAAAACAUCCAAACGACGUUCGAUGGUGUGCUGGCUCUAGGGCCCCGCAUCUCGAUGUCCGCGAGGAAUGCUACCU